CAUGAAUCUUAUAGCAAUUUUAUUCUUAAUUUAUACUUUGAUGGUAAGACCUUGAUUAUGAUUUUCAAAACCAACCCGAACCAGGUGGUUCAGACCCUUCGAGAUGUGCCGAACCGGACCGAUAGAGAAUCGAAAUGGUUUCGACAGUGAAAACAGCAUACGCUGGUACAGGAGAAAAAAGAGAAGAAAACAAAAGAAGAGAG
rnacentral:lncRNA from 1 species